rnacentral:lncRNA from 1 species
AAGGUGAAGAGGCUGAAGGAGGAGCUAGCUAAGAAGAAUGAGGAGUUAGUCCAGAAGGGCGAGGAAAUGGUGAAAGAAAGGGAAGCCCUUACGGAUGAUGUUGCAAACUCUUACAUGGCGGGCUUUGAAAACACUGUCGCCCAAGCCUCAAGAAUCUACCCCGAGAUGGAUUUCUCCCAACUCAAUUAGGGCACCUGAACUCAGAGUCUUAUUGAGAAAAAGUUGUCCCAUCUAAAUCACCAUAGGAAGAAGUGGUUUCUUUUGAAAAAUUGGAAGGAGAAGUUUUUGUAGAAAUGUUAUUUUUAUCCUUCCUUGAAGAUUUGUAGAAAACAUCAUGAUGAGUAGUUUUGAAAGUUGUUUUCGUCAAAAUAUAUGAUUCCACUUUGAUGGUUAG